CCUACAGGUGGCAGCAGUAGGGAAUCUUGCGCAAUGGGCGAAAGCCUGACGCAGCGACGCCGCGUGAGGGAUGAAGGUCUUCGGAUCGUAAACCUCUGUCGGCAGGGAAGAACGGUCACUGUACUAAUCAGCAGUGAAUUGACGGUACCUGCAAAGGAAGCACCGGCUAACUCCGUGCCAGCAGCCGCGGUAAUACGGAGGGUGCGAGCGUUAAUCGGAAUUACUGGGCGUAAAGCGCUCGUAGGCGGUAUGUCAAGUCAAGGGUGAAAGCCCCGCGCUCAACGGGGGAACUGCAUUUGAAACUGGCAAACGUGAGUGUGUGAGAGGAGAGUGGAAUUCCAGGUGUAGGAGUGAAAUGCGUAGAUAUAUGGAGGAACAGCAGUGGCGAAGGCGACUAUCUGGCACAUAACUGACGCUGAGGAGCGAAAGCGUGGGUAGCAAACAGGAUUAGAUACCCGGGUAGUC
rnacentral:rRNA from 1 species